rnacentral:rRNA from 1 species
GGAAUGACUGGGCGUAAAGGGCGCGUAGGCGGCACAUACAGUCAGAUGUGAAAUCCCUGGGCUCAACCUGGGGACUGCAUUUGAUACGUGUGAGCUAGAGUGAAGAAGAGGGUUGUGGAAUUUCCAGUGUAGAGGUGAAAUUCGUAGAUAUUGGAGAGAACACCGGUGGCGAAGGCGGCAACCUGGUCUUUAACUGACGCUGAGGCGCGAAAGCGUGGGGAGCAAACAGGAUUAGAUACCCUGGUAGUCCACGCUGUAAACGAUGUGUGCUGGAUGUUGGGGAACUUAGUUUUUCAGUGUCGUAGCUAACGCGAUAAGCACACCGCCUGGGGAGUACGGCCGCAGGGUUGAAACUCAAAGGAAUUGACGGGGGCCCGCACAAGCGGUGGAGCAUGCGGUUUAAUUCGAAGCAACGCGCAGAACCUUACCAGGACUUGACAUGGGUAGGACCGGUGGAAAGAUUCACUUUUCCCGCAAGGGACCUAAUGCACAGGUGCUGCAUGGCUGUCGUCAGCUCGUGUCGAGAGAUGUCGGGUCAAGUCCCGCAACGAGCGCAACCCUCGGCUAUAAUUGCCAUCAGGUUAUGCUGG